rnacentral:misc_RNA from 1 species
GAUGAAGAACGCAGCGAAAUGCGAUAAGUAGUGUGAAUUGCAGAAUUCAGUGAAUCAUCGAAUCUUUGAACGCACAUUGCGCCCCUUGGUAUUCCAUGGGGCAUGCCUGUUCGAGCGUCAUUUGUACCUUCAAGCUUUGCUUGGUGUUGGGUGUUUGUCCUGAGGGACUCGCCUUAAAGUAAUUGGCAGCCAGUGUUUUGGUUUUGAAGCGCAGCACAAGUCGCGAUUCAAAGCUAUACGCCAGCUUCCACAAGCCUUUUUCACUUUUGACCUCGGAUCAGGUAGGGAUAACCGCUGAACUUAAGCAUAUCAAUAAGCGGAGGA